rnacentral:rRNA from 1 species
CCGGUGUGAGCCAGGUUGGUUUCUAUCUUUUAAUAAGGAAAAUAUUUUAGUACGAAAGGAUCAAAUAUUUAAAUUAAAUUUAAAUUUAGAAUUUCAUUAAAAAAAAUUAAAAUUAUAAUAAAAAGUAAAAUAAAUUAAUUUUUUAAAUUA